rnacentral:lncRNA from 1 species
UCCUCAGGUUUUCAAUCACAUCACAACACACAACCAGAUCUUAUCACAAGCUCAUUAUCACUUAAGGUUUAAAGAAUCGCUUACUAUCAAGGAACCAGGUUGGUCCUUGUAUCACUCUUGGAUGGUAAGCUCAUGACUUUGAGGAUAUGUGAGUCUGGAUUAUUACCCAUCUCCUGCCUCCUUCAGUUCAUGGCUUCCUCCUUGUUUCUCUAACUCAAAGACCCCUUCCUUUCUCCUUCUCUUCUGGGUGCCAUCUUCUUGGCAGCUUGCUUGAUGAACCGGAUGGGAAAAGCUCUUGGACAAGGCACCUUGGAUGAGUUCGCGAGG